GCAGUCGAACGAGAAAGCUUCUUUCGGGAAGUGAGUAGAGUGGCGCACGGGUGAGUAACGCGUAGGUAAUCUACCCUUAUAUUUGGGAUAACAUCGGGAAACUGGUGCUAAUACCGAAUGGUCUUCAUAACUGUAGGGUGAUGAAGUAAAGGUGGCCUCUUCAUGAAAGCUACCGUGUAGGGAUGAGCCUGCGUACCAUUAGCUAGUAGGUGGGGUAAUGGCCCACCUAGGCUACGAUGGUUAGCGGGUCUGAGAGGAUGAUCCGCCACACUGGAACUGGAACACGGACCAGACUCCUACGGGAGGCAGCAGUGAGGAAUAUUGCGCAAUGGGGGAAACCCUGACGCAGCGACGCCGCGUGAGUGAGGAAGGUUUUCGGAUCGUAAAGCUCUGUCAGAAGGGAAGAAGUGUUAUACAGUUAAUACCUGUAUAAUUUGACGGUACCUUCAGAGGAAGCACCGGCUAACUCCGUGCCAGCAGCCGCGGUAAUACGGAGGGUGCAAGCGUUGUUCGGAAUUACUGGGCGUAAAGGGCGCGUAGGCGGCCUGAUAAGUCAGAUGUGAAAGUCCACGGCUCAACCGUGGAAGUGCAUUUGAAACUGUCAGGCUUGAGUAUCGGANGGGAGUGUGGAAUUCCCGGUGUAGAGGUGANAUUCGUAGAGAUCGGGAGGAACACCGGUGGCGAANGCGACACUCUGGACGACUACUGACGCUGANGCGCGAAAGCGUGGGGAGCAAACAGGAUUAGAUACCCUGGUAGUCCACGUCGUAAACGAUGUGAACUNNGGAUAGGGGGUGUUGAUCCNCUCCUGUCCCGCANCUAACGCAUUAAGUUCAUCGCCUGGGGNAGUACGNUCGCAAGAUU
rnacentral:rRNA from 1 species